rnacentral:rRNA from 1 species
CACGUAGGGCGCAAGCGUUGUCCGGAAUUAUUGGGCGUAAAGAGCUCGUAGGCGGUCUGUUGCGUCCGCUGUGAAAACUCGGGGCUUAACCCCGAGCCUGCAGUGGAUACGGGCAGACUAGAGGUAGGUAGGGAGAAUGGAAUUCCCGGUGUAGCGGUGAAAUGCGCAGAUAUCGGGAGGAACACCGGUGGCGAAGGCGGUCUCUGGCCGUACCUGACGCUG